UGAUGUGUGUCCUUUGGGACACACCUUUGGGAGGGACACACACUCCAUGUGCGUCCCUCCCAAAGGUGCAUGCUCAGUGGAAAAGGACAACCAUACCAGAUAGAAAUACUGUUCUGAUCUUCGUCAAGGAUAUAUGCUAGUUGCUCUCCUUUGCUAGAACAUCCAAACAAGCUCAAUGUUUUAGAAUGCUAUGGAUUACCAGAUAUUUUUGUGUCAUAUGAUUGAAUUAUUCUGGCAAGUUAGAAGGAGAUUAUUUCCUA
rnacentral:snRNA from 1 species